rnacentral:tRNA from 1 species
GAGAUCCUAGCUUAAUUAAAGUACCUGGGUUGCAUUCAGGAGAUGUGGGGUAAUAUCCCGCGGGUCUUA